ACCUGGCCGGCUCAGUCAGUGGAGCAUGUGACUCUUGAUCUCGCGGUUGUGGGUUUGAGCCCCAUGUUGGGUG
rnacentral:tRNA from 1 species